UACGUAGGCAGCGAGCGUUGUUCGGAGUUACUGGGCGUAAAGGGUGUGUAGGCGGUUGUUUAAGUUUGGUGUGAAAUCUCCCGGCUCAACUGGGAGGGUGCGCCGAAUACUGAAUGACUUCGAGUGCGGGGGAGAGUGGAAUUCCUGGUGUAGCGGUGAAAUGCGUAGAUAUCAGGAGGAACACCGGUGGUGUAGACGGCUCUCUGGACCGUAACUGACGCUGAGACACGAAAGCGUGGGUAGCAAACAGG
rnacentral:rRNA from 1 species